AUCGAUAAUCCACGUUAANUUUCACUUUAAUUCUAAACUUAUAUACCACCAUCUAAAGAAUUAAUUUCAUAAUAUUUCUCUAAAAAAUAACUAAAAAGUUAGGUCAAGGUGUAAUUUAUAUUAAAGAAUAGAUGAAUUACAUUAAAUAUAAUUUUAAGAUUAUAUAUAAAUAUAAUUAUAUGAAUAUGAAUUUAAAAGUAAUACUUAAAUAAUAUUAAAGUAUGAUUCAGACAACAAAUGUGCACACAUCGCCC
rnacentral:rRNA from 1 species